rnacentral:rRNA from 1 species
UACGGGAGGCAGCAGUAGGGAAUCUUCCGCAAUGGACGAAAGUCUGAUGGAGCAACGCCGCGUGAGCGAUGAAGGCCUUCGGGUCGUAAAGCUCUGUUGUUAGGGAAGAACAAGUAUCGGAGUAACUGCCGGUACCUGACGGUACCUACCAGAAG